rnacentral:rRNA from 1 species
UACGAAGGGGGCUAGCGUUGCUCGGAAUCACUGGGCGUAAAGCGCACGUAGGCGGAUUGCUAAGUCAGGGGUGAAAUCCUGGAGCUCAACUCCAGAACUGCCUUUGAUACUGAAGAUCUUGAGUUCGGGAGAGGUGAGUGGAACUGCGAGUGUAGAGGUGAAAUUCGUAGAUAUUCGCAAGAACACCAGUGGCGAAGGCGGCUCACUGGCCCGAUACUGACGCUGAGGCACGAAAAGCGUGGGGAGCAACAGGG